UACAUUUAUAACCUUUCGAUUAAUUUUGACAAAAAAAACAUAUGGUUAACUAAUCUAAACUUAAAACAUCAACUUUAAACCCUAAAUCAUCAACUCUAAACCUUAAACCACGAGACAUCAACUCUAGACCCUAAACCCCGAAACAUCAACUCUAAACCUUCAAAUCUAAACCCUAAAAUAUCAACUCUAAACCCCAAACGUAAACCCUAAACCCUAAAUCUAAACUUAAAACAUCAACUUUAAACCUUAAAUCAUCAACUCUAAACCGUAAACCACGAAACAUCAACUCUAAAUCCUAAACCCCUAAACAUCAACUCUAAACCCUAAACCCUAAACCUUCAAAUCUAAACCCUAAAUCAUCAACUCUAAACCCUAAACGUAAACCGUAAACCCUAAAUCUAAACUUAAAACAUCAACUUUAAACCUUAAAUCAUCAACUCUAAACCCUAAACCAUGAAACAUCAACUCUAAACCCUAAACCCCGAAACAUCAACUCUAAACUCUAAACUUUAAACCUUCAAAUCUAAACCCUAAACCCUAAACUC
rnacentral:lncRNA from 1 species